rnacentral:tRNA from 1 species
CAGAAGGUAAUUUAAUUUAAAAUGUUAGCAUUGGAAGCUAGAUAUUAAGUGAUAUACUUAUCUUUUGA